UGAACCUUAGUUUCAGCCCUGGAGCCCUUGAGAGAGCUCUGCUGUUGGUUAGUAAUUACCGUGAAAGUAUUCAGCUUCUUCAUUACAAGGACAGAAAGUGGGUUGUUAUGAGGAUUCAAUGAGGAGACCUGUAUGAAGUGCCUUCCCCUGUGCCUGGCUCAUAGGUACAGGUUACCUUCAGCGCCAUGGCCUUUUCAUCAAGGUUCGCCUUCUGGGAGCAAAAGGAAAGUUGGAUUUUAAAAUCUUUAUGUUUUUCCUGUG
rnacentral:sRNA from 1 species